rnacentral:misc_RNA from 1 species
GUAUUUUGAAUUAUGUUAUUCAUGAUACAUUGCUUCAGACAAACUGGUUUAAAAUAGAUUAAUUAAAAAGAAAUCCCAUGCCCCUCUAAAAGAGAGGCAAAAAGGACUCUUUAACAAUGCACACAAGGUGGGUAUGGAUUUUUUAGAGUGCCAUAAACACUCGUUAUGAAUGAUCCUUCCGCAGGUUCACCUACGGAAA